GGGAGUGUGGUGUAACGGUAGCAUGACGGUCUCCAAAACUGUCGGUCAGGAUUCAAAUUCCUGCGCUCCUGCCA
rnacentral:tRNA from 1 species